UACGUAGGGGGCAAGCGUUGUCCGGAAUCAUUGGGCGUAAAGCGUGUGUAGGCGGUUCGGUAAGUCUGUUGUGAAAGUCCAGGGCUCAACCCUGGGAUGCCGGUGGAUACUGUCGGUCUAGAGUACGGAAGAGGCGAGUGGAAUUCCCGGUGUAGCGGUGAAAUGCGCAGAUAUCGGGAGGAACACCAAUUGCGAAGGCAGCUCGCUGGGACGUCACUGACGCUGAGACGCGAAAGCGUGGGGAGCAAACAGG
rnacentral:rRNA from 1 species